AGCGUAGGCGGGUUUCUAAGUCAGGUGUUUAAUCCCGGGGCCCAACCCCGGACAGGCACUUGAAACUGGAAAUCUUGAAUAGUGGAGAGGUCAGUGGAAUUGGGGGUGUAGCGGUGGAAUGCGUAGAGAUCCCCCAAGAACACCAGUUGCGAAGGCGGCUGACUGGACACAUAUUGACGCUGAGGCUCGAAAGCAUGGGGAGGCAAACA
rnacentral:rRNA from 1 species